UACGAAGGGGGCUAGCGUUGUUCGGAAUUACUGGGCGUAAAGCGCACGUAGGCUGAUUGUUAAGUGAGGGGUGAAAUCCCGAGGCUCAACCUCGGAACUGCCUUUCAUACUGGCAAUCUCGAGUCCGGAAGAGGUUAGUGGAAUUCUCAGUGUAGAGGUGAAAUUCGUAGAUAUUGAGAAGAACACCAGUGGCGAAGGCGGCUAACUGGUCCGGUACUGACGCUGAGGUGCGAAAGCGUGGGGAGCAAACAGG
rnacentral:rRNA from 1 species